UACGGAGGGGGCUAGCGUUGUUCGGAAUUACUGGGCGUAAAGCGCGCGUAGGCGGCUUUGUAAGUUAGAGGUGAAAGCCCGGAGCUCAACUCCGGAACUGCCUUUAAGACUGCAUCGCUAGAAUUGUGGAGAGGUAAGUGGAAUUCCGAGUGUAGAGGUGAAAUUCGUAGAUAUUCGGAAGAACACCAGUGGCGAAGGCGACUUACUGGACACAUAUUGACGCUGAGGUGCGAAAGCGUGGGUACGCAAACAGG
rnacentral:rRNA from 1 species